AUGAGGCUGCUGGAUCUUCUCCUGUGCCUGCUGACAGCCCCCCAAGGUGCAGCUGCAGGAGUCGGCCCAGGACUGGUGAAGCACUUGCAGACCCUCUCCCUCACCUGCACUGUGUCCGGGGGCUCAGUCACCAGCAGUUACUACUGGAACUGGAUCCGCCAGCACCGGGACAAAGGGUUGCAGUGGUUGGAGUACUGGACAGGGGGCACAAGCUACAACACAGUGUUCCAGGGCCGCAUCUCCAUCACUGCUGACAGGGCCAGAAACCAGUUCUUCCUGCAGCUGACAUCCUUGACCACUAAGGAGACGGCCUUGUAUUGCUGUGCAAGACAGUGA